UACGUAGGGGGCAAGCGUUGUCCGGAUUCGUUGGGCGUAAAGAGCGUGUAGGCGGCCAGGUAGGUCGGUUGUGAAAACUGGAGGCUCAACCUUCAGAGGUCGACCGAAACCAUCUGGCUAGAGUCCGGGAGAGGAGAGUGGAAUUCUCGGUGUAGAGGUGAAAUUCGUAGAUAUCGAGAGGAACACCGGUGGCGAAGGCGGCCAACUGGACGAAUACUGACGCUGAGACACGAAAGCGUGGGGAGCAAACAGG
rnacentral:rRNA from 1 species